rnacentral:rRNA from 1 species
AAUGAACGUUGGCGGCGUGGAUUAGGCAUGCGAGUCGAGCGAGAACCGUAGCAAUACGGGGACAGCGGCGAAAGGGACAGUAACGGGUAGAUUAUCUGCCCUCAGGUUUGGGAUAGCUGCGGGAAACUGCAAGUAAUACCAAAUAAUAUCUCCGGAUCAAAGGUGUGAUUCCGCCUGAGGAUGAGUCUGCCUCCUAUUAGCUUGUUGGUGGGGUAACGGCCUACCAAGGCAUUGAUGGGUAGCGGGUGUGAGAGCACGACCCGCGUCAUUGGGACUGAGACACUGCCCAGACACCUACGGGUGGCUGCAGUCGAGAAUCUUCGGCAAUGGACGCAAGUCUGACCGAGCGACGCCGCGUGU